UGCGCGGUUGGUAGCACCUGCAACACCCAACUCAAGGGACUAGGGCUAUCCAACCCACCACUCUAUAUAUGCGUAUGUAUAUAUAAUAUUAUAUAAGUUAAUAUGAUGGGUUAGGGAUGGUGACCAACUUGUGUUGGCAAGACAUGCAAAAUUUUCAGAGGUGUGGUGGGGCCUUUGCUUAAGCAUUGAGUAAAGUUGUUUUAAGGCGAUAAUGACGAUGACGAUGACGAUGACGAUGACAAUGGCCACAAAAGUAGGAUUUUCAGCUCUAACAUUCACAAGAAAUUCAGUUGAAAGGCUAAAAUCCUUUGCACAUCAAAAGCAUUGAUCACCCUGAAAUUCUCAAGCCUAUACGAAGAUAUCUCGAGACUAUGGAUAACCUAGAAUAAUGUUAAGAAAAGGAGAAAUGAGAAGAUAUAACCAGGACAAUAUGCAGAUGAGAAAUGAAUGUGGGACAAGCAAAACUUUUAGUGAUCUGCCCAAGUUAUGAUCAUGGUAUCGGUAAACAUCCUGCUUCCACAAAGAAGAGGCUUAAGGUUCGUUAGGUCUUUACCGAGGAUUUCAUAUCUUGGUCUUUCUUUGUUGGUAUCUUGAGAACAGUUCCUUGGUAGGCAUAAUCCAUUAGUUCAUUCGUCAUAGCAAGACAAAGGAUGAGGAGGAGGAAAAGAUUUAGUUAUCCUUCUUUGACAUCAAGCAAGAUGGAAAGAGGGGAAUUUUUUUCUGCAACGAAUCUAUUGGAAUUCAGAUUGAAUUGUUUUUCAUCGAUUUAAGCUUGAUAAUAUUACCAUAAUAUCACUGUUUAAUUGUAUGAAUCUGAUCAACAGAAACUUCAGGGUUAGACAGCAAUGUGGAUACAAGUAGGUCAAAAGUUAAUAAUCAUGAAGAUACAGAGAAAGUUAAUAAUCAACGAUAAUUCUUGAUUGGUGAUGGAGAAGAAACUGCACAAAUUGCUGAUGUUCUGCAACUGCAAGAUGAGCUCAACGACCCAAUUCGCAUUAGGGACACUAAUGAAACGACAGCGUUUUUGAACUUAACGACAACUUUUGCCGGCGGUUCUGAUCGCCCAAAAUUCUCCAGUGAAGAUAACUUGUAUGAACUCAGAAAGAUUUGUCUUUGCUUUGCUCGGCGGCGCCUGUAACUAAACGAAGCCGCUAUGCUAGUAGGCUGCUGCUCCUCCUCCUCAUUUCUUCUCCUCGAAAAUGUCCGCCGCCGGCGUUGAUCCAACGGCUCAUACCCAUCAAACCGCCGGCUGAGAGUGGAGACGAUAGUAUGCGUACAGAAAAGUCAACGGAGAACGACCAUGAGUAUUAAUUCUCUGUGGACGAGCAACACUCGGAUCAGGAUCAGUGCAGGACGGAUGAAGAUACACGUGGCAGACACAGUGUCCAGAUUGAAUCGGACGGUCAGUAAGAUUUUUCUGAAUAGCUUACAACGUAUACAUGUGUAAGUGUCAUACACUAUAUGUAUCUUAAUCAAGAAACUGCAGC